GCAAUUCCUGUGAUGAGUCCCUAAGAAGGGUGCGGUUUUCUUUUGAAGUGUAGGAGUGAUCAGUUGUUGUAAGCAUGCAGCCAAGCCAAGUUGUGAUUACUUCUGAAUUCCUCAUUGAAAAAUGAGUGAAACGAACGAGAACUUAGCCGUAAGGUAGGAACUGCAUAACAAUUGGAUAGUCUUCAGCUUAUGAUGUGGUGCCCGUCGAGCUGCUUAAGUUUUCGGGCUUUGAUGUAGUGGGAGAUCACACAUGGUACUUCCUCAGAUUGUAGGCUUCUUUUAGGACUAGAUCUUUUUAGAGCCUUCUCUGCAGGCAGUGAUAAAGGUUUUUCUUUAGGCUGGAAUUGCCGGAUCUUGGCCCUUUUGUUGUAGCUGGAGAGGAGAUUCUGCUGGAAGGUUGCGAUGCGAGUGAUGGUCUACUCGGGUUUCUCUUCUGCUAGAUCUAAGCUUAGGCUAUGUCUUUAUUGUUCUGCUCAAUGCUUGGUAGUAGAGCGAUGAUACUUGGCUUGAUGACAUUGGGAUGAAUGAUUGCUUCUGAGCCAAAUGCCAAAGAGAAAAGAGUUUCACCGGUUGCUCGUCUUUUGGUGGUGCGAUAUACCCAUAGACAUCCGGGGAGUUCGUCUGGCCAUUUUCCCUUCUU
rnacentral:lncRNA from 1 species